AUACUUAGCUAGCAAGGGACAUUCUGUGAUCACAAAAAUGGUUUUUCUAGGGUCCAUCAUUCUCAAUAUAUGCUACCCCUGUGAUUUCCCAAAAUACAAGAAAUUUGAUGCAUAAUUUGUGGUAAUUUAGGAUUGCACUCACAUAUUCUGGU
rnacentral:snRNA from 1 species